ACACCCAGAAUUUUCUCUGAGCCACAGAAAUACCCCCACGAUUUUCUAAAUUAUACCCACAUUUAGGCAGAGGAUGGAAUGUAAUCCUGACUGGUUUGUAUUGGUUUCCACAGGGAACCAGACCAUCACAUAGGCCACUCUCAGUGAGAUCACCUUGGAAAGUCUGUUUCCAGACUUAACCAUACUUCUUUUUGUCUCUGAUCUUACCUCCCUUAGGAGAUGCUCUUCACCCACCUCCUCCUCUGACUCCAGCGUCUACAAAAGUAAGUCUUCGGAAUCAACUGGUGAUCAGCCCAAGCGUAUUUCCACUAUGUAUUUUCUACAUGCCUGGGUGAGGCUUCCAUUUGUUUAUCAGUGUGACCGGAUCUAGAACCUCUGGCCCCGUGUUUGUGGGAAUUUCUAGAUAGCAUUAAUUGAACUGGUUAGACUUACUUUAAAUGUGAUUCCAGAGCCUGGAAUCUUGGAUUGAAUAAAAGGGGAAAUGCAAACUGAGUACUGGCAUUUAUUGUUCUUUGCUUCCUGAGAGCAGAUACAACAUGACCAGCUGCCUCUUGUUCUUGUUUCUGUGAUUUCCAUACCCACACCCUGAAACCACAAGUCCAGUUGUCCCCUACCUUCUUUCAGUUUCUCUUUUUUUCAGGUAACUAAUACAACCUGUGUGGCAGGUGAUGUUCCUUCAUGCUGUACUGUGGGAGCCAACCUUAUCAUUGGUGUUUUUCACAGCAUGUGAGAAGUUAUUAUCUGGAGGUCACUGAGUGAAAUCUGACAGCCAUCAAAAGACAAAUGCUGCACGGUCUCAUGUGGGGUCUAAAAUGUCGGACUGGGAGGCAGAGAGUACUGUGGUGCCUACGGGAGUUUGGGUGAGGGACAUGGGAAGAUGCUGAUGAAGGGAAUAGGUAUGAAUGAGAUCUAGGGAUCUAAAACAUAUGGUGACUAUGGUUUAUAAUACUGUAUUCUGCACCUGGAAGGUCCUAGGAGAAUAGAUAUUAAGUGCUCUCACCAUGCAUAUACAAAACAGCAUAUGUGAGACAAUGGAUGUGUUAAUUAGAUUAGUUGUGAUACUCAGUUCACACUGUGAGUAUAUGUAUGAUGUAUAUAUGUAUGUAUGUAUACACUCAUGACAUGCAUAUAUUCAAUCACCACAUUGCAUACUUAAAAUACCUAUAAUUUUCCUUUGUCAGCUAGACUUCAAUACAUUUUGAGGGAAAAUACAACUUUAUGGAGAGUUUUACCUGAUACUGAUUUGUUGUCUCUUCAGAUACAAUUCUGCUACUGAAAAGCACAAGAAAGCACAGAUCAAUGACCAUGACUCUGGAAUCUCGGCCCCUGGGCUCUGUCUCAAUGUGCUUCAUUCAGCAUGCUGGGGCUUCUGCUGGCUACAAUUCCCAGAUGUGGAUCUGGGUAUUCCUACAGACCUAAAGUCAGUCUUGGUCUCCACCCCUGAGUGUCAUGUGGCUCUUUGCCUUCCAAGCAUUCUCAAGCUCGUCUUUGGUGGUUUUCUCAUAAAACUAUCAAGAAGGUGGAAUAUUUAAACUUCUGAUAAACUCCAAAGAAGUUGACCUUUCAAUCAGCACUGUUAUUUCUGGAGUCUUCUCCCACUAUAUAAAUAGUCAUGCCGAAGACCUAGAAUGACCACUACUACUGUGCCUGGGAAGGCUAGACAAGAGUUUCUUGGACUCCAUGAUGACGACUGCUCUGACAAUUUAUCGGUUUGCUCUAGCCAGGUGGAGAUCUUGAUGGUGACCCAACAGAAGUCCCUGUCAUCUUUGUUGAUUGAUGAUUUGGUGUCCCAUUCCUUUGCCACCUUACUUAUCCAUCUCCAAAUUUCUAUGGACUCUUGUGGUGAGGUUAAGUCUACAUUUGCUUGUUUUACAUGGUGACAUGUCUUGGGCGUUGAUUUUCUUAGCUAUCUUUUGGUUAUUCAGGACAGACUCCAAUGUGUCAAAAUACCUACAAUGCCUUGGCCCUUCUGAGCAAAGAAUUAACUUUCAUCUGUGUGUCAUGUUUGUAAUUUCUGUUGAAUCAGCUUUGUGCCAUUAAUCUAUCUGAACAGUUAGCCAGGUGUUGGCUGCAUCCUUCGGGACGAGAAAGGACAGUCUAUGAUUACCAAGCCCUAAGGCUGUCUAGAAUGGAGACGUGGAAGGACUGGAUACCCCAUAAAAAGUGCUAGAAGGAGAGGCAGGCAUGUGGCAAAAGUCCACUGUCUCAUCGAUACAAUAAUGACAGUCUAUACUACUGUGAUAUAUCGAGAGAGGGGCCUUGGCAGGUGGAGCCAAGGUGCCCCAUAGCGGUGGGUGAGAGACAGAGACGCCAUGCAGACAGUGCUCAGUGGAGAGUUUUAUUUGGUGGGGAGAAGGGGAGAAGGAAAGAGAGGGAAAGAGAGAAAGAGAGAGACAGAGAGAGAGGAGAGAGACAGAGACAGAGACAGAGAGAGGAGAGAGAGAGAGAGACCAAAUGUAAGAUGGCAAAGGGGGUCAAGACAGCUCUCAGACUUCUGUAGGAAGCUUUAGCUUGUCUACAAUGGUAGUCAGAGGGUCCCAGAAGGAAGAGAGGGCAGGUUUCAUUGAGAAAGAAGUAGCCAAAUCUCUGUUCACAUCACAGUUGCUAAGGUCCACUGGCCAAAGCAAAUCUCAUGGCCAAGCCCUGAAGAAAAGGACAGAAAAAGAUAUCAAUGUCUCAUUUUGCAAUAUCUCAGAAAUGAGAGCAGAGUACUGUUUGCUAAUUGGGUACCAGGGGCAAGCUGGGGCUUUCACCAGACACUCAUUGCUUUAUAGUCUCCUGAUUUAUCCUUCUCCUGUAAAUGAUCUAGGCAUUGUGUCUGUGAUGGCUCUUCUCGGUGGCCCACUUGAUUGUCUCUAGAAUCACCUGACAGAUGACUUCCCAGUGGGGCUGUGAAAGCAUUUUCAGGAAGACUCCUCCAGAGUGACGGAGCCUGACAGCAGCUGAGGCCUAAAGAGUUAUGAGGGAAAAGCAGUGGUGCAUGUCUGUAGUCGCUUCUUGCUUGUGAGUGCAUCUGCCCUUUGUUGCUGUUAGAACCCACUUCCUUGGUCCUCCCAGGUAGCCCGAAGACCAGUGACUCUUCAGGCAUCAUCCAGACCUUCAGUGCCGCAUUACAACUACUGAGGCACCCAGCUUUUGUGGACUGAGCAGCUAUUGGGUUCUUAGCUUCUCCAGUUGCAGAUGGCCAUUGUUGGACGACUGAGGUCCUAUCACAAGCCCAUGCCAUUAGUCUCUUUUCAUAAUAUAUGUUCUUUCCAUGAAUUUUAUUCUUUCAGAGAACCCUGGCCAACACUGUCUUAACUGCUGCUGUGUCGGAUGUAGACUUUGCUCUCUGAUGGUUCAGAUUUGAGUUACUGAACUAUACCAACAUUAUAUAUAAACAGCCACUUGCUGUUCUGGAAACCCACAUUGGCAUGCAGGCAUGCCCAGGGCAUAACACAGAGACAGAAGAAAGUACCAACUCAGAAAGGGGGUCAUGGAAAGAGGGUUUCCUGGAUGAAGAACUGCCUUAGCUGAGUCCCAAAGAACAUGAUGAGAAUGGGGUUUUCUGGGCAUAAGAAGGGAGUUAAACAGCCAUGAAAGGCCAACAGUGAUUGGAUGUCAAGCUUGAAAGGAUGAACCUGGGUUUUGGUCAACUCUCUUGCUUCAAGCAAUGGUUGAUUAUGAGCACUAUAGCCAUCUGCACGUGUAUAUACUGUGGUGGCUGGGAUCAAGGGAGCCUUGUUGUAUGGAGAAGGCUAUGAGUAGAGUUAGUCUGUACCUGAAUUCUAUGCCUGAGGCUUUCCAUAGUAUGUUCUCUGACCCCCAUCAAACUGGGGACUAGAGUCAUAUGGUCAGUGUAAACUGACAGCCUGGGCAGAGCCUUGGGGCUUCUGUAUUGGAAAUAUUCUCCUAUUUUUUUCCAUACAGACUGUGUCCUUCAGGGACAACUGGGCAUGAGGAUAUCAUUCACUACUGCACUCUCUGUGUAGGGGAGGGGAGUGAGGAGAGAAAAAAGAAUCUCAAAAAAUGUGUAUAUUUAUCCUGGUCUGGCCUUAAGAAAACACAGCCACCGAUCCAUCAAAAAUGAAUUUGAGUUUGGAUAACAUUAGCGUUUAAGGCAAUGCUCUUCUCUUGUAUUGAUUCUCUGUGGGUUGAAAUGGAAACAAUUUUAGAAAUGUAGUCUUAGGUUUCCUUAAUCUUCGUGGCUCAGGGAGGAAAAGGCUGUUGUCACUUGUGCUAAUAACCACAAGAAACAGGGUACUAAAGUGCUUAGCUGGAAAACGAAUUCCAGGAGCUAGCCCUGGUCAUGCCUCCAGGGAGAAUGCUUCCUAAAAAUUCUGCCUUUCUUCUUUCCUUCAAGAGAGUUGCCUUAAAGGGCAGAGCCAUUUGGGAAGGAGACAAUAACUUGUGGAAUUAAGGAUUCCCAGGACUUGCAGAGUCAGCAUGGGGCGCUGGCCCCAGAAUGAGGUGGGGCCAUCUAAAGUCUCAACAUUGGAAGUCUUGGAUCCCAACUCUUUAACUUGAGGAGGAGAGGGCAAUGUCAGAAAGAAUUAGCAUCUCAACUGGGGUGAGGAUAGAAGAGAAUGAUCUUCUCCCCUCAACUGUCUCUACUUGACCUUUCCGCUCUUGUGAGUAUUUGCAUAAAAAUGGACUUCUUCUGAAUAAAAUGUGGGUGUAAUUUGCAGUGUCACCUGGGGAACAAUCUGUCCUGUGGCCUUUUCUCCGUUUGUCACCUGAGGUUUGUCACAUUGCACCCUCAUGCUUCUCACCUGCCCACUUGUCUUGACCCAGAUCUGGGGAACCAGAAUGUGAGAGGAAGGUGGAAGGUAAGGAUGAACAGUCUCAUCUUCUGGGACACUAAGGUAGGUCUGCAUCCUUCUUCCCUCUGGAGAGGCUUCUUGUCCUUCCUGGCCACUACAGCCCUUGUCUGCAGCCAUGUACCUUCUUAGCCACUCCUUUCUUGUUGCUAUGACUAAUUUGCCAACAGCAAGAUCCUUCAUUUCCUUCAGGGGCCUAUAUUGGUGUGUUCUAUGAACACAAGAUUCAACCCAGAGGUAUGCAUCAGACACAAGAACCUACAGCUAUAAUGGCCCCCUGAAUUCCUGAAUCCCAAGACCAGAGCCCUUGCAAGUCAGCCUUUCCCACCACUUCAGUCUGGGAUUUUAGAGUGAAAGUUGAAUACUCCAUUGACAUUGGGGAGUUGGGGUUCAGACCAGCAUCAUCCUGGGCUUCCAAGAGCAGGAAUACGAGAGAUCAGGGCUAGAUGAGGCUAUGAUGGAAUGAAGUCUUGUGAGGCCUUUCAAAAUCCAGGACAAAUCUAGCAUCUGGCCCUGACUGGUAAGAACUCCUGGUUCCUUCUAUUAAUGAGAAACAUUCCCUCUUCUUUGUCUGGUUUAAGAACUUCAAAAAAAUUGAAGCUUCUGCUCAUUUGGGCCAAUCCAAGAAAGAAUUACUGUUGUUGGUAUAAUUUCUGUGGAGCUAUUUUUAAUUAGCUCAUAAAAUUCAAACAGAGAAUAUAAUAUAUCCAGCUAAUUGCCAUCAUCCUAAUUUGGUCAUAGUUUGGGUGCUCAUCCCUUUGAAGGUUGGUGACCAACACAGAGAUUGGUUUUUUUCCCCCUCUGAACUAAGUUUUUAACCAUAGAUUUGAUCCAGUUAGCUGACAGAAGCUAGCAAGACCCCUUGGAUGGGUUGUUGUCAUGGAAGGCAUACAAAUAUCAACCUGACCAGAGUGGCAGAGGCUCCAAGCACAGUCAGAAUCUGUGGCCAUUUACUUGCUGUUGCCAAGGAAAUCUUAGCUCCUCUCUUCACAUCUAACACUGUAGCCUUCUGUGGCUUGUCCAUCUGUCCUUCUGGCUCAGGGGUCCGGGUGUGUAUUGUCAUUCUUGGCACAUCCUCAAGAUCCACUGAUGUUUUGUAGAAUAAAUCAAUGCAUGCUGCCUAGAUUAUAAUAAAACUAUCCCCUUUCUACUCAUGUAUAUUAUAAGUAUAUUUAAAAUGGGAAUGCUCUAUAAAAAUAUAAAAUGCCCAAGGAUCAGGCACACAGUUUUAUAUGAUUAAAUGUCCAUUGAUUUACUGCUUGGUAAGUACAGAGAAAUGUCAUAGAAAAUAGAGUGUAUGGCUAGACAGGUCUCCUAAUGGGACUUUUGGAAGUCUUUAGGCAACUUAUGCAAUAUUAAUAAUAUUAUAUAUUGUUGCAUAUGAUAUAUUAAUAAUGAUUACAUGUCCAUAUUUUAUCUGUCUCUAUAUAUUUACAUUUAAUGUGAAACUGGGCAAGUGGGCUAAUAAACAAAACACACAAUUGUUAUAAUAUAGGCCUCAUAAUCAAGCAUGGAUUCAUUUGACUAUAAUGAAAAAUAUGGCCAUAUUAAAUCUCAUUAAUGCAAACUCCGCUAAUUCAGGUAGCAAUCACUCAGACCCAAGGAGCUGAGGUUUGCUUUUGUUAUUUGAAAAUAUUUCUAUAAAGCCAAUGGACAAUGUCUGAAGGAAAUGGCUGUCUGGCUGUCACAUUUUGACCAGUACUGAUGCUCCAGAAGGCUUCUGUCACUUCUUCUCCCCCUUGUCCAGACUCAGCAUCUAUUCUGUGCAUGCUCCUUUCUCCCAUAACCCUUAGCAUAGUACAUUGUAAACAAUUUGCAAGAGAUGGGAACCCCUUGAGGGGAACACCACUGGGCCCUUUUCCCUGUAUCUCCAGCUCAUAGCCUGCCUAAAUAAAUGUUUGUUCAGUGAAUAAAUAGAGGAGAGCUUCCACAGACGCAGUCUUACAUAAAAAUGAGCACUGUGUUCAUUACAGAGAUUAUCCUAGGAAUAAGGCAUCAUGUUUGUAUGCCAAAUGCUGUACAAAUUAUUUUCUUAGAUCUAGUAUUAUUUCUAAAGAGUAAAUGUUAAAAAGUCAACUUGGUAGGAGUAAACCCAGUUGUUUCUUGAGUGGUUAAUUCAUUGAUAAUUAGAUACUAUUUUGUCUUACUUUCUUCCCUCACUUCCAAGUCUCAUGUCAUGAAGAGUAAAUUUGUCAGUCAGUGAAAGAGUAGUAAGUGAAUGCUCCAGGGUCCCUCCUCAUUGUGACUCAGGUCCUUCACUUGGUGAUGUGUCAGAUCACCUUCUCAUAGGACUAGGUGUAGAAAAGGAGACCAUGAGAGGAAUUGGUGAGGAUAAACAUGGCUAGAACUGAGGUCUGCUAGAACAGCUUUUCAUGGGCAAAUCUAGGACCAAACACACUUUUGCAGGAGACAGUGUCUCAUGGUGGAUGUGGAGGAGCUUCCUUGAUGGUGUCCUGACAAUAUUAGUAAUUUAUAUUUAGAUAUUCGGCCGAUGGUUAGCGUUGGAGAUGUAUUAGGUGGAGUACAGAAUAUCUGAAAAAGAGGAUAUAGCUCAGUCGUCAAUUGACCCUGGCUAGUAAGAGGGACCCAAGGAACACUAGCAAGUGCUAAGGUUUGGCUCUAUAUGCAGAGUUCCCACAAAUUAGGACUAUAUGAGUGAGUGAGAUGUCACCCCAUUCCCAAAAGGCACGGACAGCAGGGAAUAUCUUUAGGUGAAAAGGAGAAGACAAUAAAUUUGCAACCACUGAGAUGGAAUUAACUAGUUGUCCAGUUAGUGCUAUGACAUGUAGCCAAAGUAAGGUACAACAUGAAGCUGAGUCUUCUAAGUACUUAUGCAGUAUUAAUACUUAUAUUGAGUAUCUAAGAAUAUGAACUAACUCACUGAAUUUCCUCUGCUCGUCACUUGUCUCUAAGGAAAAGGUCGGGGUAGCCUAUCUGUAGUCAGGAGGUAGAAGAACAUUCAUGUGUUAGGGAUGGGUUGAUGUCAGAAUUGGUGGGAUAGCUAUUAAUUUGACAAGAACACUUCUGAGGACUAGAAAAGCUAACCAGCGACAGGAAACUGCUGCCCAAGGCACCAGAAAGAUAAUCAAAUGCUCAGUGCUCAGGAGAAAAAAAAUACAACAAAACAACUAGACUUAUAAGCACUAGUAAACCACUCCCAACUUGGGUUGGAGUUCUCGAAGGCUGUAUUGUAGGAAAAUGAGUAAAUUAUAAGUAAAACAACAAUAAC